rnacentral:lncRNA from 1 species
GAAUUACAAGAAGAGGAAUGUUGAGAUUGGAGGCAGAAAAAGGCAAGGGGAGCGGUGUAAGUGAGGCACUGAAGAACUGAGUUGAGAUAACAGGUAUUGCCGAUGUUUUUGAGCCCUAACGGAGGACCAGUUUUGCGUCUCUGGCUGAGCAGAUUCGGCUGCCAAUUCAUUUGCAGCAAAUAGGCCAUUAACGACCUAAUUCUUCUUCCUCCACCGCCAGCACCGCCGCGUAUGGGCUGCCCCAAAGCCGCAGCCACCACGAUCGCAUCGCCUCGAAUUCCUCUCCCUCUCUAUCUCUCUUUCUACGUUUCGUUUUCUUUUUCUCCUGUUAGGUUUUUUCCAAUUUUUGGAUGAGGGAGGUGUCUAUCUCUCUUUCUACGUUUCGCUUUUCUUUUUCUCCUGUUAGGUUUUUUUCCAAUUUUUGGUUGAGGAGGGAGAUUUCCAGAAUAUUGAGAGGUUUAAUUGUGGUUUCAAAUUGGCAGUGACUGCUUACAUAAUUCUCUAUAUAUACAAUUUGUUUUUCGGGGUGGGUAAAUAAUAGCGUGGCGUUAGUAUGUUUUGUAUUGUGUUGUUAUUAUAUACAGAAAGAGAAGACGAGGAGAGUGUGAAAACAGGGAAGUCCCCACCCACCCCCUAAACCCAAA